AGAGUUUGAUUAUGGCUCAGGACGAACGCUGGCGGCGUGCUUAACACAUGCAAGUCGAACGAGGAUAUACCAGAGGAGAGCUUCGGCAGGAAUCGGGUAUAUUCGAGUGGCGGACGGGUGAGUAACGCGUGAGCAACCUGUCCCAGACAGGGGGAUAACACUUGGAAACAGGUGCUAAUACCGCAUAAGACCACGGUAUCACAUGGUAGUGGGGUAAAAGGAGCAAUCCGGUUUGGGGUGGGCUCGCGUCCGAUUAGAUAGUUGGUGAGGUAACGGCCCACCAAGUCGACGAUCGGUAGCCGACCUGAGAGGGUGAUCGGCCACAUUGGAACUGAGAGACGGUCCAAACUCCUACGGGAGGCAGCAGUGGGGAAUAUUGGGCAAUGGGCGAAAGCCUGACCCAGCAACGCCGCGUGAGUGAAGAAGGCCUUCGGGUUGCAAAGCUCUGUUAUAGUUGACGAAGGAAGUGACGGUAGGCUAUAAGGAAGCCCCGGCUAACUACGUGCCAGCCGCCGC
rnacentral:rRNA from 1 species